rnacentral:snRNA from 1 species
CGUCGGCGGGGGCCUCGGGA